GACGAACGCUGGCGGCGUGCCUAAUACAUGCAAGUCGAGCGGACUUUCAAGAAGCUUGCUUUUUGAAAGUUAGCGGCGGACGGGUGAGUAACACGUGGGCAACCUGCCUGCAAGACGGGGAUAACUCCGGGAAACCGGGGCUAAUACCGGAUAAUAUCUUCCUUCGCAUGAAGGAAGGUUGAAAGGCGGCGCAAGCUGCCGCUUGCAGAUGGGCCCGCGGCGCAUUAGCUAGUUGGUGAGGUAACGGCUCACCAAGGCGACGAUGCGUAGCCGACCUGAGAGGGUGGGCGGCCAGACUGGGACUGAGACACGGCCCAGACGCCUACGGGAGGCAGCAGUAGGGAAUCUUCCGCAAGGGGCGAAAGUCUGAGGGAGCAGCGCCGCGGGAGCGAAGAAGGUCUUCGGGUCGUAAAGCUCGGUUGUCAGGGAAGAACAAGUACCGUUCGAACAGGGCGGUACCUUGACGGUACCUGGUCAGAAAGCCACGGCUAACUACGUG
rnacentral:rRNA from 1 species